rnacentral:rRNA from 1 species
CAGCAGCCGCCGCGGGAAUACAGAGGGUGCGAGCGUUAAUCGGAUUUACUGGGCGUAAAGCGUGCGUAGGCGGCUUUUUAAGUCGGAUGUGAAAUCCCUGAGCUUAACUUAGGAAUUGCAUUCGAUACUGGGAAGCUAGAGUAUGGGAGAGGAUGGUAGAAUUCCAGGUGUAGCGGUGAAAUGCGUAGAGAUCUGGAGGAAUACCGAUGGCGAAGGCAGCCAUCUGGCCUAAUACUGACGCUGAGGUACGAAAGCAUGGGGAGCAAACAGGAUUAGAUACCCCGGUAGUCCCUGUCUCUUAUAA